UGGGGAAUAUUGCACAAUGGGGAAAGCCCUGAUGCAACAACGCCGCGUGAAGGAAGACGGUUUUCGGAUUGUAAACUUCUGUUCUUAGUGAAGAAUAAUGACGGUAGCUAAGGAGCAAGCCACGGCUAACUACGUGCCAGCAGCCGCGGUAAUACGUAGGUGGCAAGCGUUGUCCGGAAUUACUGGGUGUAAAGGGAGCGCAGGCGGGAGACCAAGUCAGCUGUGAAAACUACGGGCUUAACCUGUAGACUGCAGUUGAAACUGGUUUUCUUGAGUGAAGUAGAGGUUGGCGGAAUUCCGAGUGUAGCGGUGAAAUGCGUAGAUAUUCGGAGGAACACCGGUGGCGAAGGCGGCCAACUGGGCUUUAACUGACGCUGAGGCUCGAAAGUGUGGGAGCAAACAGGAUUAGAUACC
rnacentral:rRNA from 1 species